GGGGGGGGGGGGGGGGGGGGGGGGGGGGGGGGGGGCGAGCGGGGGGGCGCGGGUGUGGUGGGGUGCUCGAGGGGCGAACGGGUGAGGAACACGUGAGUAACCUGCCCGGGACGUUGGGAUAACUUCCGGAAACUGGGGCUAAUACCGGAUCGGAGCUCCUGCUGCAUGGUGGGGGUUGGAAAGGUGCGGCGGUUGGGGAUGGACUCGCGGCUUAUCAGCUUGUUGGUGGGGUAGUGGCUUACCAAGGCUUUGGCGGGUAGCCGGCCUGAGAGGGUGACCGGCCACAUUGGGACUGAGAUACGGCCCAGACUCCUACGGGAGGCAGCAGUGGGGAAUAUUGCACAAUGGGCGGAAGCCUGAUGCAGCAACGCCGCGUGCGGGAUGACGGCCUUCGGGUUGUAAACCGCUUUCGCCUGUGACGAAGCGUGAGUGACGGUAAUGGGUAAAGAAGCACCGGCUAACUACGUG
rnacentral:rRNA from 1 species